AAGUCCUGACGUCAACGGGUUAAAAGGAACUGUUUCCUGUUUCAACAAACACUGUAGAGAGAAAGCUUGGCUUAACACAGAAGUAAAUCCAGAGGCUUUAAAUCUAAAAAUUCUUUAGGAAAACAUGAGCACUGAAGAGCUACAAAACCUUCUGUUAGGUCUGAAGCCUCACAACUUGAAUACAAAAUCUGCAGACCAGUACAAAUGUGGGGAUUUGCGUUGUCUAUCAGCACUCUCAGUCAGAUACUGCCAUUGGUGCUUACGAAAAAAAUCCAUAGAAACGUCCGUAGAAUUCAAAGAUGUACCUAUGGCAUAUUAAAGCCAACCAAAGCACACCAACAGAGACACUGAGGACAGAAACUGAAGAUGAGGAUCAAAACAGUAGCAAGAAGCAGUGUCUUAAAGCAUUUUAUACAAAAGAUUAUGAUGAUUUUUCUAUCCAUUUUCUUUACCAUUUAUCUGAAACAGGGUUUUCAGGGGAGCCUGGAGCUUAUUACAGGGGACACGUGCACACAGCGGUGGACACCCUGUAUAGGGUGCCAAACAAUUGUAAAGCACAUCAAACACAUUACAAACAAUUUAGAAAAUUGUUAAAUUUAGAAAAUAGUUAAUUGGUCUAUAUCAUGUACCAAACCUACCCCACAUGUCUCUGGACUUCAGGAGGAAACCUAAUUACCCAGAGAAAACAGCCAAAGCAUGAAAGAACAUGCAAAGUCUUCGCACAGAGGCAGGAAUCUAAAACCCAGUCCUAACCCUUGGUGAUGCUGCUGCUGCUGCUGAUUAUUAUUAUUAUUAUUAUUAUUAUUAUUAUUAUUAUUAUUAUUAUUAUUAUUAUUAUUAUUAUUAUGAUUAUUAUUAUUAUGCACACAAAUAUAAUUUAUUGAAUAAAAAGUAUAAGAUUUUCAGUUUUCCAAAAAUGCACCAAUCAGGUCACGUAUGUAAUAGAUUUGGAAAAGUGACCUGAUUGGUGCAUCAGCAUCAUCCAAUUUGCAGUACACAUUCAUUACCUGAUGUAUACCAUAUUUUCCUGGUCAUAUCAGAAAUGAAUGAGAUUAUUUAAACAGUCAUAUUGUAUGCUGUAAAGCUGUAUCAGCCUUUGAAUAGUUUGGUCUAUGUUGUUUGUAGGUGCUUGUAAUGGAUUAACCUUAAUGACAUUCAAUUUGCAUUUGUUAUUUUUACAUCUUUGUGUUUCUUCUAGUUCUGCUUCAAUGGUUUACACCUAUUAUGUUAUUGCUGAGAUAUGGUUUUACAUGUUAAAAACUGAAACCUGCAUGUCUGCAUUCUGUACACAAGGUUGAUUAAUUUGCUGCCUAAUAAAAGAACGCUUGACUUCGAUUUAAAAGGGGGAAAAAAAAGGUUUUUGGGCACCGUCUCAUCUCGCCAUGAGAUGGUAGCAUUGCCACAUUGUGAAGUUGCUUUGUUGACUUUAAAGUGCCAUUUCGACAUCUUUCAUCAUAAAAUAAAUGAUUAAAAUGUGUCAGCCCACGCUUUCCACACAUCCAAUAUGGACUGCUAGAGCACAGUUAAUCUGAUAAUUAGCUGUUAACAAUAGUAAAUGUGUUAGAACAGGGAAACGAGGUUGGACUCUUGUAUUGAAUUCUUACUCCCAGGCCACCAUUCACCUACAGUCCCAUUGUUAUACUUGAAAUAAGAACAUGACUCCUUGCUGAAUAUAUCAGGGUCCUAAACGUUCAGUGGAACACAAUUCAGUUUUUCUCCUACUCUAGCAACAGUCCAAUAAUACAGCGAAUAUAAAAGCAGCAAUAACUUUUAUUGUACUUUUUUAUUACAAAACAAUUCAAUUCAGUCUUUUCUGUGAUUUACUUGAAAUGCUGAGGAAAAUUAGAAAACUGCUCUGCUAACAGGAUUUAAAAAGAGCAAUAUCGUACAGUAUAAAGACCGUAGAUUUCUUUCAGUUAUAUUUCCACUUUAAGAUACAAUCCAAAAGCCUUGCAUUAUGAACAACCGUAAUGGCAGUAAUUUUUAGUGUGAGUGAAUGAGAGUGUGUGUGUGCCCUGCGAUGGUUUGGCACUCCGUCCAGGGUGUAUCCUGCCUUGAUGCUUGAUGACGCCUGAGAUCCAAAUAUAAUUUAUUGAAUAAAAAGUAUAAGAUUUUCAGUUUUCCAAAAAUGCACCAAUCAGGUCACGUAUGUAAUAGAUUUGGAAAAGUGACCUGAUUGGUGCAUCAGCAUCAUCCAAUUUGCAGUACACAUUCAUUACCUGAUGUGUGUUGUGAAUAAUGAUAGUGAAUUUUCAUAUUUUCCUGGUCAUAUCAGAAAUGAAUGAGAUUAUUUAAACAGUCAUAUUGUAUGCUGUAAAGCUGUAUCAGCCUUUGAAUAGUUUGGUCUUGAUGACGCCUGAGAUAGGCACAGGCUCCCCGUGACCCGAGGUAGUUCGGAUAAGCGGUAGAAGAUGAGUGAGUGAGUGAGUAUACCAAAACAAGUAAUUGACAAAGGAUGGUGUGACAUCCUAGGUUUCCUCUGAGGUCACCAGUUUCCACUCACCUCUCCAAAACAUGGCAGUAGAACUCUAAAUUGCUCCUAGGAACACAUGCGCACAUGCAUAACAUUUAUACACGGCCAACAACAACUACGAGUUGAAGAUUUGGCAGUUGACGUAGAAACACCUCAAACAGGUUUUACUUGUUCAGGAAGAAAGAUUUCAAGUUAUGACACCAGCAUAUUUACCGAGAUACACUCAGAAAACACAGGUGAGUAAGCUUGUCUUUAUAAACAGCUGAAAACAAAGACAUUAAGUUGCAAGAGCGCCAACAUCGUCAAAUCAUGAGCAGCGAGCAGCUAAAAAUCGAUCUGUUAUGUCUGAACCCUGACUAUGUGAACACAUCACCUGCACAUCAAUACAGCUGUGGCGUUUCACUAAAUCUGCCUGUGCACCCAUUUGUUCGGUGCCGAUGGCACUUAAGGAAAAUGGCAAAGCAAAAGUCCAGGGAAGAUUUUAUAGAUUUUAAAGAUACAUCCAUUCACAAUUAAAGCCAAAAGGUUGCCAACAAGACAUCCAUUGAGGACAGACACAUCAGUCCAGUGAUGAGGAUCAACACAGCAAUCAUGAAGCAUUACACAGUUAUAUAUUGGAUCUUAAUUUUAGUUUCUGUCUGUGUUUGUUUCUGUAUUUAACCCAAAGUGCGCCAACAAUGAUAUACACUGAGGACAGAAACAUCAGUCCAGUGAUGAGUAUUAGCACAGUAACAAGAAGCAUAAUCUGAAGAAAAGAUGAAGCUGCUGAUUACAAAUGUGACUGCUGAAAAAGAAAACUGCUACAUUAACUGAAUGAGUAGGAAAAUAAUUCAUGACCCAGACCACUUUUGACCAAUGAAAUGGGUCAUGAAUUAUGAUGACACAUGUUCAUACAUGUGGUCGUGCCAGAAAUGAAUUCAAUAUUGUUAAACAAUCAUAUGCAGUAAAGCUGUAUCAGCUUUUAAAUGGUUAUGCCUAUGUUUUUGUAUUGUCUGUAAUUCAUUGGUGUACAACUCGUAUUGAGAUGCAUUGUAUUUUACAAGUCUUUUUAAUUUCAUUAAAUGCUAAUUAUACUAUUA